AUUGUUAGAUCAAUGAGCACUAUUAGAGCACCUUGCUCUGAUACCACUUGUUGCCCAAGGUGACAAUCCAAGAGGGGGGGUGAAUUGGUUUCUUCUAAAUUUUGGUGCUUUUAAAAACUUUCGUAAUUAAGUGCGGUGGAUGCUUUCUUAGAUUAUUUGAGUGAGUUAAACUAAUGCAAGAAUAGAAGAUAAAGCAAGAGAAAAUGAAAGCACAAACACAACGCAAACACAACAAUAUAUAGUGGUUCGGUGCUCUCCUUAGCACCUACGUCCACUCCCCAAGCGUCCCCUUGGGAAUUCACUAUAAUCUCGCGGAUUACAGUUGGAUUGUUUUACGGGCUCACAAUCCAAAAACCUUGUUGGUUUUACGGGCUCACCAACGAACCUAUACACUUUGGUUUUCCGGGUUCACCAAAAACCUUUGUUGGUUUUGCGGGCUCACCAACGAACCUUUACACUUUGGUUUUCCGGGUUCACCAAAAACCUUUGUUGGUUUUGCGGGCUUACCAACGAACCUUUACAAAGUGUUUAACAAAUGAAAAGAAAAGAUUCAAACUCCUAAAUGAGCAUAUAAAGCAAUAUGAACUACAAAGAAGAGUUAGAAAGUAUUUAUCGAUUUGAAGUGGCUUUGCUCUUCUUUGUCAAGGAUGCUUCACUCUUCAAGGGGGGAUGGAGCUCUUGAUGCCUCUUUGAAUCUGCUCAAUCCCUUUCUUUGAUUCUUGAAUGAAGCUCUUGAUGAAGGAGAUUAGGGCUCUUUUGUUUUCUUGUGUAUUCUUUGAUAUCCCACUCAAAAGUUGUUU
rnacentral:lncRNA from 1 species